AGCGAACGCUGGCGGCAGGCUUAACACAUGCAAGUCGAGCGGACCUUUCGGGGUCAGCGGCGGACGGGUGAGUAACGCGUGGGAACGUGCCUUCCGGUUCGGAAUAACCCUGGGAAACUAGGGCUAAUACCGGAUACGCCCUUAUGGGGAAAGGUUUACUGCCGGAAGAUCGGCCCGCGUCUGAUUAGCUAGUUGGUGGGGUAACGGCCUACCAAGGCGACGAUCAGUAGCUGGUCUGAGAGGAUGAUCAGCCACACUGGGACUGAGGCACGGCCCAGACUCCUACGGGAGGCAGCAGUGGGGAAUAUUGGACAAUGGGCGCAAGCCUGAUCCAGCCAUGCCGCGUGAGUGAUGAAGGCCUUAGGGUUGUAAAGCUCUUUUAUCCGGGACGAUAAUGACGGUACCGGAGGAAUAAGCCCCGGCUAACUUCGUG
rnacentral:rRNA from 1 species